rnacentral:rRNA from 1 species
CACGUAGGGGCCAAGCGUUGUCCGGAUUUAUUGGGCGUAAAGAGCUCGUAGGCGGUUCGGUAAGUCGGGUGUGAAAACUCUGGGCUCAACCCAGAGCCGCCACCCGAUACUGCUGUGACUUGAGUGCGGUAGGGGAGCGGGGAAUUCCUGGUGUAGCGGUGAAAUGCGUAGAUAUCAGGAGGAACACCGGUGGCGAAGGCGCACACCUGGCCCGAUACUGACGCUGAGGCGCGAAAGCUAGGGGAGCAAACGGG